rnacentral:rRNA from 1 species
UGGUAGGGUAACGGCCUACCAAGGCUAUUACGGGUAGCUAGCCUUAGAGGGCGGUUAGCCACACUGGGACUGAGACACUGCCCAGACUCCUACGGGAGGCUGCAGUCGAGAAUCUUUGGCAAUGGACGAAAGUCUGACCAUGCGACGCCGCGUGCGGGAUGAAGGCCUUCGGGUCGUAAACCGCUGUUAGGAGGAAAGAAGACUGCGAUUCCGAACAGGAAAUGCAGUUUGACGGUACCUCCAAAGAAAGCCACGGCUAACUCCGUGCCAGCAGCCGCGGUAAUACGGAGGUGGCAAGCGUUACUCGGAUUUACUGGGUGUAAAGGGCACGUAGGCGGUUCAGAAAGCUCUGCUUGAAAUCCUCGCGCUCAACGCGAGAUUGCGGUGGAUGACUGCUGGACUUGAGAAUUGGAGAGGUGAGCGGAACUCCCGGUGUAAGGGUGACAUCUGUAGAUAUCGGGAAGAACACCAGUGGCGAAAGCGGCUCACUGGCCAAUUACUGACGCUGAGGUGCGAAAGCUAGGGGAGCAAACAGGAUUAGAUACCCUGGUAGUCC